GGGAAUGGAUGGGUGCUGGUGUGCUCCACGGACUUCAAAUCCGCCGGCGGGUACUAAUACUAUUCGCGGUGAGUUCGAUUCUCACCCGUUCCCG
rnacentral:tRNA from 1 species